rnacentral:lncRNA from 1 species
ACAGUCGUCUUCUUAUUCUCGACCGCGGUAACAACGUCGCUGGGUCCUGGGUGCCUCACCACUGUUCGUGGAGACUUUCCAGUGCCACCGUCGCCAUGGGCUGCUCCCCGCCGUGAAACUCGCGGGUCGCCGUGGGCUCCUUCUUCCCCGCCCCACUCCGAAUCGUGUCCCAUCGACUGCGUAGGGUCAUCGAAUCGUGGCACCAUGGCGGGCAUAGCUGGGACUGCGCACCGAAGAAGAAUGCCGCCGCCGUGGAUUCACGACCUGGAUGUCGCUCCGGUCUCGGCUUGCGGUUGGGAACCUUCGUCAGGGUGCUCUGGUGCUCGUGGUUUCCUCGGCGGGCGCGAUUGGUGUCCAGAUCCCUGCGAAUUUCUCGCUAGAGUCCAACUCCGCAGUGGAGCCGCAGCUCACCGUGGACAGCUCCCCUGGCGCCAUCUCUGUCUUGGGUAAGCCCCUGCUAAGUUCGCCUCACCCUCCUUUAUGCGUGGUCGUGAUCAAUUUGUAAAUUGGGGCACCAGGGGGGGCAAAUCCGCGUGCUCCGGCGAGCUCCUCCGCCGUGCGGCACUAGAGCGCCGCCGCCCUGGUGGUCGAAAUAGGGGAGCAGGCCAGCAACCGUUGAUCAAAUGCUGUAGGGCUAGGAUUAGAUCUAGGGGAAAGUUGGCCCCCAACCAUUGAUCGUGCAGGGGAUGGUCUAGAUCGAGUCUUGGUGUACCCCUUCGAGCCAUUAAAUCAGAACCGUGAAUCCCGGAUCCGAUAGCCUGGGUUACUCGCGGGGUUGAUGGAUGUCGAAUCUAAUCGUGGUCGUCGGGCUUUGAUCCGACGGCUGAGACGAAAGCAUACCCCUUCGCCUGAACCAGUUUUCAAAUGAGCCCCUGGACUACUUAGGAAUCAACCCGCCAUCCAGGGACCCUUUCUCUGUGUCUAGGAUAUCUUGCGCAUAGCCCCCUGCCUUCUCUGAAAAAUGAGGCGCAGUCCAGAAAUUAAAUAAAACCGGAAAAAUAGAUUUAGAAAUUGAUUUUGAGUAUAAAAAUAAUUGUAAAACUUGGGUAAUUCAUAGAAAAUUCAUAUUAAUCCCAAAUUAAUCCGUUCUAAUUCCUAUAAUUUUGUAAUAUUAUUGUCUAUCAUCUAGUACCACUGUUUUGACAUGAAAACAAUAAUAAAAUUGAUCUCCUAAUUAAUCUCAUAUCAAAUAAAUAAAACCUUAGGAAAUUCGUAUCUCCUCCGUUUUAACUCCGAUUUGAUCCGUUCAAGUUGCUUUAGUCUCGUAGCAACGUGUAGAUCAUUAUUAUUCAGUUUGUACUUAUGUUUGGUGUGAUGUUAAUUUUGUCUAUAUCAUGUUUGUUUGUAUUGCAACGACUAGCGCGUGGACACGUGUCAUCUGAAAAGCA